rnacentral:tRNA from 1 species
GGGUGUGUAGCUCAGUAGUAGAGCACUUGCCUAGGAUGCAUGAGGCCCUGGGUUCCAUCUCCAGCAUUACCU